UUAGGAGUUCUUUCAAGGAGGAAUCUAUGGGUGAGUCGGGAGUGGCCAAUUCGAAGCCGGGUUAGGAGGGUUUCUUCUUUUCGGGAGGGUCUGGAAGAGGAUUCCCAUUUCUUUACAUCUUUCUUUAUUGCGAGGAGCUUGUUUCCUGUGCAGGCACCCCAUUCACACUUCCAUGCCCCCCAGAUGAGCCGCCUAAUCUUUAAUAAUAUAGUUAACCCAAUUUUGCAAUUCAACAUAUGUUUUCAGUAGACAAAAAUCACUUUUCAAAUUGUUUUGAUCACAUCCGUCAGGAAGGCAAGCAGAAUUGGGAGAAAAGUUCUACGCAAAUGAGUAGUUUAAUAGUAGAAAAAUAAACUACUAGACUAGCGGAAGGUUUGGAUGGAAAGUGACUUCCAGACAUUUAACGCAGUUCCUUCACCAUCCAUUUAAGAAAACCAACUUAAUGAACACAUUUGUCACGCUUGAAUGUUUAUUCGUAGCCUGAUUAUGGUUUCUUCGUCGGGGCUUCGGUUGUUGUAGCAUUAUCGCAUGUAAACCAGUUUAACUCGUAUAUUACCUUUAAGGACGCACCGGUUGAAAUGAAGAACACAACAGAAACUAUGAUAAUUAUGACGCAUAUUUGGCGUCUGCUGAGAAACGGUACUACCACUUCUUCGGCGACAGGUGCCACCGCCGUCUCCUCUGGUACAUAUUUAGAUCCGUCGUACACCAUUUUCCAAGGGUAAUGGGUGUAAUAACCGUGUAACCCGUACGGAUAGGCACCGGGGGCUUGGAAGCCACUGGGCAUAUUAGGCGUUUCGGGGAUCAUUAUUGGCACUGGUACACUUGGAACUUAAAAAUUGUCAUAUGUAUUGAAGAGCGAAAAACAAAUAACUAAUGAUUCCACAAGCCAUCGGAUAUAGGAUAUGUUUACGGUUAUUUUGUCAUCGUCGUCGCCUGCCCAGCUUCGUUUCUACACUUUAACCAGUUGUAAUUCCAUAGGAUGAAAAUGGCGGAAAAAAAUCCUGCGAGCAUUGCGAUGAAAGCAAGGGUGAAUAUGAUUAGCGCAAUUCGUAAAGCAUUGGACUUAGCAUACAUUUCUUGGACUUCGUCAUCGUCUGGCGAUGGCUCUCGUGCGAUCACUGGAAUCUCUUGUCUCAGUGGGAUGUUUCGGUUCCACAACCUCCCCCAUGGAUACUUGGCGAGAUUUUUCCAUUCGUAUUCAGUAAAAUAACCGUACGGUCCGUAAGGAUAGAGCCCGGGCAAAUAAUGAUUAGUCGGACUUAACGGAUGGGACAUUGCGUCAAAUUUGCAUUUAUUUCUAAAUAUUUAUACAAAAAACAAAACAAAAUUACAUAUGUCAAGAUUCGAAUGAUCGUUUCCGGCCUUGUUUCAGGGAGAACUCAAGGCGUAUAAAGCUACAACUCCGAUUAUUACGAUUAUAGCAAUCAGGACAAUAAUAAUAAUAAUAUAUUUCUUUGAA